ACGGGAGGCAGCAGUGGGGAAUAUUGGGCAAUGGGCGAAAGCCUGACCCAGCAACGCCGCGUGAAGGAAGAAGGUCUUCGGAUUGUAAACUUCUUUUAUGAGGGACGAAGGACGUGACGGUACCUCAUGAAUAAGCCACGGCUAACUACGUGCCAGCAGCCGCGGUAAUACGUAGGUGGCAAGCGUUAUCCGGAUUUACUGGGUGUAAAGGGCGCGUAGGCGGGGAUGCAAGUCAGAUGUGAAAUCUAUGGGCUUAACUCAUAAACUGCAUUUGAAACUGUAUCUCUUGAGUGCUGGAGAGGUAGAUGGAAUUCCUUGUGUAGCGGUGAAAUGCGUAGAGAUAUGGAGGAACACCGGUGGCGAAGGCGGCUUACUGGGCUUUUACUGACGCUGAGGCUCGAAAGCGUGGGGAGCAAACAGGAUUAGAUACCCUGGUA
rnacentral:rRNA from 1 species